AUUGAACGCUGGCGGCAUGCUUUACACAUGCAAGUCGAACGGCAGCGCGAGCUUCGGCCUGCCGGCGCGUGGCGAACGGGUGAGUAAUGAAUCGGAAGGUGACCUGUCGUGGGGGCUAGCCCGACGUAAGCCGGAUUAAUACCACAUCCGAUAUGAUGGUGAACGCGGGGGUCCGAUAGGCAUCGCGCUAUUUGAGCGGCCGAUGUCGGAUUAGCUAGUUGGUGGGGUAAAGGCUUACCAAGGCGACGAUCCGUAGCUGGUCUGAGAGGACGACCAGCCACACUGGAACUGAGACACGGCCCAGACUCCUACGGGAGGCAGCAGUAGGGAAUUUUGGACAAUGGGGGCAAGCCUGAUCCAGCCAUGCCGCGUGAGUGAUGAAGGCCUUCGGGUCGUAAACCGCUGUUGUUCGGGAAGAAAAACUGUGUGCGAAUACACGCGGGUGAUGACGGUACCGGAAGAAAAAGCACCGGCUAACUACGUG
rnacentral:rRNA from 1 species